GGCCUCCCAAAGUGCUGGGAUUACAGCCAUGAGCCACAGCGCCCGUCCAAACUCCUUGUUCUACUCUUUCCCCCUUCUCACUACUGCAGUUGACUAGUCUUUA
ensembl:misc_RNA Y_RNA Y RNA